rnacentral:rRNA from 1 species
UCCGUAGGUGAACCUGCGGAGGGAUCAUUACCGAGUUUACAACUCCCAAACCCAAUGUGAACGUUACCAAACUGUUGCCUCGGCGGGGUCACGCCCCGGGUGCGUCGCAGCCCCGGAACCAGGCGCCCGCCGGAGGAACCAACCAAACUCUUUCUGUAGUCCCCUCGCGGACGUUAUUUCUUACAGCUCUGAGCAAAAAUUCAAAAUGAAUCAAAACUUUCAACAACGGAUCUCUUGGUUCUGGCAUCGAUGAAGAACGCAGCGAAAUGCGAUAAGUAAUGUGAAUUGCAGAAUUCAGUGAAUCAUCGAAUCUUUGAACGCACAUUGCGCCCGCCAGUAUUCUGGCGGGCAUGCCUGUCCGAGCGUCAUUUCAACCCUCGAACCCCUCCGGGGGAUCGGCGUUGGGGAUCGGGACCCCUCACACGGGUGCCGGCCCCUAAAUACAGUGGCGGUCUCGCCGCAGCCUCUCCUGCGCAGUAGUUUGCACAACUCGCACCGGGAGCGCGGCGCGUCCACGUCCGUAAAACACCCAACUUUCUGAAAUGUUGACCUCGGAUCAGGUAGGAAUACCCGCUGAACUUAAGCAUAUCAAUAAGCGGAGGA